rnacentral:rRNA from 1 species
GUGGGGAAUCUUCCGCAAUGGACGAAAGUCUGACGGAGCAACGCCGCGUGAGUGAAGAAGGUUUUCGGAUCGUAAAGCUCUUUCGUUAGGGACGAACGUGCUCUUUGUGAAUAAUGAGGAGUAAUGACGGUACCUAAAUAAGAAGCCACGGCUAACUACGUGCCAGCAGCCGCGGUAAUACGUAGGUGGCAAGCGUUGUCCGGAAUUAUUGGGCGUAAAGCGCGCGCAGGCGGGAUAUCAAGUCUGUCUUAAAAGUGCGAGGCUCAACCUCGUGAGGGGACAGAAACUGGUAUUCUUGAGUGUCGGAGAGGAAAGUGGAAUUCCAAGUGUAGCGGUGAAAUGCGUAGAGAUUUGGAAGAACACCAGUGGCGAAGGCGACUUUCUGGACGAUGUCUGACGCUGAGGCGCGAAAGCUAGGGGAGCAAACGGGAUUAGAAACCCCGGUAGUCC